GGAGAGAUGGCCGAGUGGUCGAAGGCACCCGCUUGCUAAGCGGGCAUACUGAAAGGUAUCGAGGGUUCAAAUCCCUCUCUCUCCGCCA
rnacentral:tRNA from 1 species